rnacentral:rRNA from 1 species
ACUCCUACGGGAGGCAGCAGUGGGGAAUAUUGCACAAUGGGGGAAAGCCCUCGAUGCAGCCAUGCCGCGUGUGUGAAGAAGGCCUUCGGGUUGUAAAGCACUUUCAGUGGGGAGGAAAGGUUGAUGGUUAAUACCUAUCAGCUGUGACGUUACCCACAGAAGAAGCACCGGCUAACUCCGUGCCAGCAGCCGCGGUAAUACGGAGGGUGCAAGCGUUAAUCGGAAUUACUGGGCGUAAAGCGUGCGCAGGCGGUCUGUUAAGCGAGAUGUGAAA